AGUGAACGCUGGCGGUAGGCCUAACACAUGCAAGUCGAACGGCAGCACAGUAAGAGCUUGCUCUUACGGGUGGCGAGUGGCGGACGGGUGAGGAAUACAUCGGAAUCUACUUUUUCGUGGGGGAUAACGUAGGGAAACUUACGCUAAUACCGCAUACGACCUACGGGUGAAAGCAGGGGAUCUUCGGACCUUGCGCGAUUGAAUGAGCCGAUGUCGGAUUAGCUAGUUGGCGGGGUAAAGGCACACCAAGGCGACGAUCCGUAGCUGGUCUGAGAGGAUGAUCAGCCACACGGGAACUGAGACACGGUCCAGACUCCUACGGGAGGCAGCAGUGGGGAAUAUUGGACAAUGGGCGCAAGCCUGAUCCAGCCAUACCGCGUGGGUGGAGAAGGCCUGCGGGUUGUAAAGCCCUUUUGUUGGGAAAGAAAAGAAGCAGGUUAAUACCCCGCUGUUCUGACGGUACCCAAAGAAUAAGCAACGGCUAACUUCGUG
rnacentral:rRNA from 1 species